AGUAGAGGGCAGCAUGUUUCUUUUUUGGAUAAGACAGAGACACUUCAGGAAGCAUGGGGCGAAGUUUCAUGCAGUGAAGGUGUAAAGAAGACGUACUCUGUGAGGUGUUUUGUUGACCCCUUCGGGUUGGUGCGGCCAAUGAGUUCUCACGGCAUCGUUGAUGACAAAGUGUCUGAUUAAAUGCCAGUAAAUAUCAAGAAUGCCUUGUGUCCGUUUAUCCACUUGGAGGGAGUCACACUGUUUCAUUGAUGCUGGGGAGGCACAGUUAGAAUGUAUGUAUGUGAGCUCAUGUAUGUUAACGAGCAACCAUCAGUCGACUAUAUAUUGUGUCCGAGCUGCUGUAGGAGUCAGACACACACUGACAGAAAUGCAGACUCCGUGCAGCAGGUCUGGCUGAGCUCGGAGCAUUAUUCAGAUAGCAUUGUAUGUGUGACUGUCUCCCUUUCUGGUUCCAGACUGGUAAUAAACAUGCAUUAACUAUG